UAACACGUGGCCAAACUACCCUACAGACCGCGAUAACCUCGGGAAACUGAGGCCAAUAGCGGAUAUAACUCUCAUGCUGGAGUGCCGAGAGUUAGAAAUGUUCCGGCGCUGUAGGAUGUGGCUGCGGCCGAUUAGGUAGAUGGUGGGGUAACGGCCCACCAUGCCGAUAAUCGGUACAGGUUGUGAGAGCAAGAGCCUGGAGACGGUAUCUGAGACAAGAUACCGGGCCCUACGGGGCGCAGCAGGCGCGAAACCUUUACACUGCACGACAGUGCGAUAGGGGGACUCCGAGUGUGAGGGCAUAUAGCCCUCGCUUUUCUGUACCGUAAGGUGGUACAGGAACAAGGACUGGGCAAGACCGGUGCCAGCCGCCGCGGUAAUACCGGCAGUCCAAGUGAUGGCCGAUAUUAUUGGGCCUAAAGCGUCCGUAGCUUGCUGUGUAAGUCCAUUGGGAAAUCGACCAGCUCAACUGGUCGGCGUCCGGUGGAAACUACACAGCUUGGGGCCGANAGACUCAACGGGUACGUCCGGGGUUAGGAGUGAAAUCCUGUAUUCCUGACCGACCACCAAUGGGGGAAACC
rnacentral:rRNA from 1 species